UUGUCUGUAAAAUUGGAAUUUUGUUCUAAGUAAAACAAAGUAAAUUUGGAUGCAUGAAAGUUUAAAAUACCCGGACAAAAUUAGGGUAUGACAAUUGGGAAAAGGAUAGAUGAAAUAUUGACAUUUAUAGAGUUAGAAAUAGUGGAAGUUCCAUCAUUAGAAGACUUACAGGGAUUCUGAUGAGUAGAGACUUCAAUAGAUUCUUGUCAUACCCUAAAAUUCGUCCUACC
rnacentral:lncRNA from 1 species